GGGUUGUGAGGUUAAGCGACUAAGCGUACACGGUGGAUGCCCUGGCAGUCAGAGGCGAUGAAGGACGUGCUAAUCUGCGAAAAGCGUCGGUAAGGUGAUAUGAACCGUUACAGCCGGCGAUGUCCGAAUGGGGAAACCCAGUGCAAUUCGUUGCACUAUCGUUAACUGAAUACAUAGGUUAACGAGGCGAACCGGGGGAACUGAAACAUCUAAGUACCCCGAGGAAAAGAAAUCAACCGAGAUUCCCCCAGUAGCGGCGAGCGAACGGGGAGCAGCCCAGAGUCUGAAUCAGCUUGUGUGUUAGUGGAACGGUCUGGAAAGUCCGACGGUACAGGGUGAUAGUCCCGUACACCAAAAUGCACAGGUUGUGAACUCGAAGAGUAGGGCGGGACACGUGGUAUCCUGUCUGAAUAUGGGGGGACCAUCCUCCAAGGCUAAAUACUCCUGACUGACCGAUAGUGAACCAGUACCGUGAGGGAAAGGCGAAAAGAACCCCGGCGAGGGGAGUGAAAAAGAACCUGAAACCGUGUACGUACAAGCAGUGGGAGCACCUUCGGGUGUGACUGCGUACCUUUUGUAUAAUGGGUCAGCGACUUAUAUUCUGUAGCAAGGUUAACCGUAUAGGGGAGCCGCAGGGAAACCGAGUCUUAACUGGGCGUUAAGUUGCAGGGUAUAGACCCGAAACCCGGUGAUCUAGCCAUGGGCAGGUUGAAGGUUGGGUAACACUAACUGGAGGACCGAACCGACUAAUGUUGAAAAAUUAGCGGAUGACUUGUGGCUGGGGGUGAAAGGCCAAUCAAACCGGGAGAUAGCUGGUUCUCCCCGAAAGCUAUUUAGGUAGCGCCUCGUGAACUCAUCUUCGGGGGUAGAGCACUGUUUCGGCUAGGGGGUCAUCCCGACUUACCAACCCGAUGCAAACUACGAAUACCGAAGAAUGUUAUCACGGGAGACACACGGCGGGUGCUAACGUCCGUCGUGAAGAGGGAAACAACCCAGACCGCCAGCUAAGGUCCCAAAGUCACAGUUAAGUGGGAAACGAUGUGGGAAGGCACAGACAGCCAGGAUGUUGGCUUAGAAGCAGCCAUCAUUUAAAGAAAGCGUAAUAGCUCACUGGUCGAGUCGGCCUGCGCGGAAGAUGUAACGGGGCUAAACUGUGCACCGAAGCUGCGGCAGCGACACUAUGUGUUGUUGGGUAGGGGAGCGUUCUGUAAGCCUGCGAAGGUGGCCUGUGAGGGUUGCUGGAGGUAUCAGAAGUGCGAAUGCUGACAUAAGUAACGAUAAUGCGGGUGAAAAGCCCGCACGCCGGAAGACCAAGGGUUCCUGUCCAACGUUAAUCGGGGCAGGGUGAGUCGACCCCUAAGGCGAGGCCGAAAGGCGUAGUCGAUGGGAAACAGGUUAAUAUUCCUGUACUUGGUGUUACUGCGAAGGGGGGACGGAGAAGGCUAUGUUAGCCGGGCGACGGUUGUCCCGGUUUAAGCAUGUAGGCGGAGGUUCCAGGUAAAUCCGGUACCUUUUAACGCUGAGGUGUGAUGACGAGGCACUACGGUGCUGAAGUAACAAAUGCCCUGCUUCCAGGAAAAGCCUCUAAGCAUCAGGUAACAUUAAAUCGUACCCCAAACCGACACAGGUGGUCAGGUAGAGAAUACCAAGGCGCUUGAGAGAACUCGGGUGAAGGAACUAGGCAAAAUGGUGCCGUAACUUCGGGAGAAGGCACGCUGAUAUGUAGGUGAAGCCCCUGCGGGUGGAGCUGAAAUCAGUCGAAGAUACCAGCUGGCUGCAACUGUUUAUUAAAAACACAGCACUGUGCAAACACGAAAGUGGACGUAUACGGUGUGACGCCUGCCCGGUGCCGGAAGGUUAAUUGAUGGGGUUAUCCGUAAGGAGAAGCUCUUGAUCGAAGCCCCGGUAAACGGCGGCCGUAACUAUAACGGUCCUAAGGUAGCGAAAUUCCUUGUCGGGUAAGUUCCGACCUGCACGAAUGGCGUAAUGAUGGCCAGGCUGUCUCCACCCGAGACUCAGUGAAAUUGAACUCGCUGUGAAGAUGCAGUGUACCCGCGGCAAGACGGAAAGACCCCGUGAACCUUUACUAUAGCUUGACACUGAACAUUGAGCCUUGAUGUGUAGGAUAGGUGGGAGGCUUUGAAGCGUGGACGCCAGUCUGCGUGGAGCCAACCUUGAAAUACCACCCUUUAAUGUUUGAUGUUCUAACGUUGGCCCCUUAUCGGGGUUGCGGACAGUGUCUGGUGGGUAGUUUGACUGGGGCGGUCUCCUCCCAAAGAGUAACGGAGGAGCACGAAGGUUAGCUAAUCCUGGUCGGACAUCAGGAGGUUAGUGCAAUGGCAUAAGCUAGCUUGACUGCGAGCGUGACGGCGCGAGCAGGUGCGAAAGCAGGUCAUAGUGAUCCGGUGGUUCUGAAUGGAAGGGCCAUCGCUCAACGGAUAAAAGGUACUCCGGGGAUAACAGGCUGAUACCGCCCAAGAGUUCAUAUCGACGGCGGUGUUUGGCACCUCGAUGUCGGCUCAUCACAUCCUGGGGCUGAAGUAGGUCCCAAGGGUAUGGCUGUUCGCCAUUUAAAGUGGUACGCGAGCUGGGUUUAGAACGUCGUGAGACAGUUCGGUCCCUAUCUGCCGUGGGCGCUGGAGAAUUGAGGGGGGCUGCUCCUAGUACGAGAGGACCGGAGUGGACGCAUCACUGGUGUUCGGGUUGUCAUGCCAAUGGCAUUGCCCGGUAGCUAAAUGCGGAAGAGAUAAGUGCUGAAAGCAUCUAAGCACGAAACUUGCCCCGAGAUGAGUUCUCCCUGAGACUUUAAGUCUCCUGAAGGAACGUUAAAGACGAUGACGUUGAUAGGUCGGGUGUGUAAGCGUAGCGAUACGUUGAGCUAACCGAUACUAAUGAACCGUGAGGCUUAACCUUACAACGCCGAAG
rnacentral:rRNA from 1 species